UUCAUAGUUUUUCUCAUUAACUGUUCAGUUUUUUUCUUUGUUUUUUUCUAAAUAUACCACAAGAUUGUCUGAAAAUAAUGAUUUUCUCUCUCCCUGAAAGUGUAUUUCUAGGAUGUACCUGCUUAGAUCUAUUACAGAUUGAUUGGAGCAGUGACCCGAGUUAUGUUCAGAAAUGACAUUGCAUUCUUUCUCUGUUACUCCAGAAAAUUGAUCAAUAUGACCCACGACUUUUUCAAAAAGAGAAAAACAGUGUUUUCUCUUUACCAACCCUCAAUCUGCAUUUUAUGUUGUCAAAUAAGAAAGCAAAAUUAAGCUUUCAUUUAUAUUGUUUCCCCUGUAGUCCUUUGAAGAAUAAAAUUUAAUCUAAGAUUCAUUCCUUUUUAAGGUCAUUGCACUACUUGAUGUAUUCAUGACCUUGUAUCUUUGCCGAUCUGUGUUCUAUUUCUAGCUGUUUUGAAAGGCAUGAGAAGGAAAUGUUUUAAAUAUAACAACAUCAUAGUGACAAGAUCAAGGGCAAAACUAAUCAGAAUCAAGAUUUAUUAAGGGCUUUCAUGCUUGUGGUAUUCUCUCUCUUCUCAUUUAAAUGUGCCACUGACACAUUUUAAAUAGACGAUAAAAACAUCAUAAAAAUAGAAAACUUUUUACCCAAAGCAGUGUUUUCCAAAGUGUGAACAAUCUCACUGUGACGAUUAAUCCUAAUUUUCCUCUUGAUUGGCCUGAGAGAUGUCUAGAAGAUUAGUAAAGGGUGCUUCUGGAUGCGUCUGGUGGGCAGGAGGACAUGCAUGUGGGGACUGUCUGGUCCUUAGCUUCUUCCUGUAAAGCUCUUCCCUCGUGUUCUGCUUCCUGGCCAUGGUGAAGUGAGCAGUUUUUCCACUGUGACCUUCCACCAUGAUUUCUGCCUGGAAGCCACCUUACCCAUGGACUGAAACCUCUGAAAACAUGAGCCAAAUUACACUUCCUUUCCUUGAAGUUGCAGGUAACAGGUAUUUACUCCCAGGAACAGGAAAGCUGGCCAAUACGUUCAUAAAGCAAUAGGUCUUUGGAUACUACCAGGCCUUAAGCAGAAAAAUAAUGUUUCGGGCCGGAGAUAUAGCUCAGUGGUUUCGCCGCCUGCUGCCCAUGCUCAAGGACCCGAGUUCCAUCUCCGGUACCAAAACAACAACAACAAAAAAGAAAAAUAAUGUUUCAUGAUCAAAUAAGCAUGAGGAAAUGUGGGUUACACAGUUUUCAUCUGUGUUUUUUAUAACUGCAUAACUUCAUAAAGUCCUUCGCUGUGUUUAUAUACGUGCAACUCUCCACAAGAUAAGUAGAGUAGCUUCCCCUAAAUCACUGCAGUCAAAUAACCCUGUAUCUGUGAAGUAUAUCUUGGAAUCAGUAUUUCUUAGAAUAUUUUAGAUAACACCUAAACAUCUUUGUGUUAGCUUCUUGUCGCCGUGAGAAAAUACCUGACAUAAUCAGCUUAGUAGGCAGGAAGUUUAUUUUGGCUUGGGCGUUCGAGGUUGCAGUCCGGGACUGCUCGGCCCCGUUGCUUUGGGCCUGUGAAGGCACAGUGGUCAUGCUGGGCGUGUGCAGCGGAGGAGGGCUUUCUACCGGCAGUGGUUGAGAAGAGAGAGACAGGGAGAGAGAGGAGAGGCUGGGAGACCACAGCGCUUUCAGAGGUGCCCAAUCCGCCAGACCUACCUGCCCCCGGGCUCAGCCUCCCGAGAGCGCCCCAGGCUCCCCUCCCACGUGGGCCUUUGGUAUAGCCAUUUAAGAUCCAGACCACACCGGGCUCCAACGGGAGCUGAGCUGCGGGCGGUGUGUCUCUGAGAAGAGAGCCUUAAGGACAUUAGGCAGGAAACUCGAUGCUGAUUAAGUCAGCCUUCCAAGACACCUCUGUCACCGCUGGGCGGCGCGGGCCUUGGACUGCUCACCGUCAGGGGCGCGUGGCAAGGGGACGAAGCCAGGCGGAUGGGCCUGUGGUUCCAGCUGCUGCCCCUCCUGUUGUAACUUCGCAUGGCAUCUCAAAGUUUAAUCCGAUUUUACUCCUCAGCUGAUUAGCCAUGCUACCAUGAAUGUGAAAUUGGGCGAGGGCUGUGUUCUAGCACAACAGAAGCCGCAAGUUGUGUUGUAAUGCCCUUAAUCAAUUUCUCUUCUAAAACCAAUUGCAUUAGAGAAUUUCAUGAUUAGUACAUUUCAACCCCAAGGGGAAAAGGAUAUAACCCAGGAUUUUAUGAAAUAAUACCACCUUAUUAAUAAAUGUCCCAAAUUGUAAUUGAAAGUAACUUUUGAUAUCUGCACUAAUCUUGGAGCAACAAUUGUUGAAGAUAAGGCAUUCAGUACUUCAGUAUUAAUAAUCAUUUUCCUGAGAGAAAGAUUUUCACAUAGCAUUUUAUUUCUCCUCUUUCAUUUCUCCUUAAAAGUUAAUGACACAUUUUAGGCUACUUAAAAUUAAUGUCUACCUCAAGGCAAAUAUUGGAUGUGACGUGAAAGUGAUAAAAUAUUCUUUUCUCAAAACUGAUCUUACCUGGCAAACUUUUGCUUUUAUGCUAGAUCCAUUUGGGAUUUUUUUUUCCCUGAUGGAACUAUUCUACAUGAUUUGGGGAAUGUUGUGUUCAAAAGUUAUAAUUUUUACCUUGGUGAAAAUAAUUUACCAUCACUAUAAAACUUUACGUUUUUCAAGCUACUAGCAGUAUUUAUGGAUACUUUCUUUUAACUUAUUUGCACGCUUUUAUAUGGCCAAUACUCAUGUGUACAGUCUUCAUAGUGGUACAACGUAAAUACAUCCUUCUACUCCCUCAAACAUUUUGACUACAAACAAGGCGUCUUUCUGGGGCUCCCACGGAUUCACUGGGAAGCAGGCCUGUGGGGCUCUGCGUGCUGUUGUACUGGGUGUGGAUCAGGGUGAUAGAGGCCUGCAUCUUAUACUCAUUUUGCCAAAGAUCUUCAGUUUAGGAUUAACUGUGUGACCAUUUCUUGUUUGAAAUCGAGGCUUUAAUUCACUAAGAUAGUUCUUCAUUUCAGACUUUGAAAGCUGUCAGUGUUGAGAGUACAUUUUAAACUCUUUUGGAUAAAUGCUACUAAACCUAAUUGAACACCAAAAGUUCACUGCUGUGCUGUUUAGUGCAUUGAAUUAGAUUUUUUAUUCUGCAUCAACAAUAAGUUAACAAACUUGAAAUAAUUGUGUGACUAAAGUAAUCUUUGUAAAUGUUUUACUUCCAUAUUAGAAUACCUACUUCUUGAAUCUCUAAUCUUGACUUUAAAAAGUAUAAACUAAUGAGAGACAAGUUACCUAACCAUGUAACAAGUCUAGCAAAUGUCUUUAAAGUAUAGUAAGUGAAGAAGGAUGUGCUUUUGUCUGUUAUAUUUCCAUUAUAUACACUGAAUUCUCCAAACCAUGCUCUAUAAAGAGAACUGUAAAAAGUAGAAGUGUUGCCUGUUUAUUUAGGAUUAAGAGAGUUAGGAGUGAUUUUAUGCAAUUCAGAAAGAUACAGACAGCUCCCUUUUCACAUCUCAGGCAACAGUAGGUUGCUAACAGUGUUUUCCAUAACUGUUAUUGGAUGUAAAUUUCUGUUAAAUAUUUGAAGGUAGUAAUAAUGCCUGCUGCUUUAUAAAUGAGAUGGUCACAUGUUGGCAACUUAAUGUGAUGAUAUGUAUAAGUCAUUUACCUAGAAUAUGCACAGAAAAUAAAACAGUUAUUAAUGUUCCUAUAGUGGAAUUUGCCAUUAGAUGAAUUGGCUAAGGAACUAAAAUGAGAAAAGGGCUCCAAUGAGAUAAAGACGCAGCGAUCUGGAUCCCAUAACAGGUGGCAUGGUCUAAUCUAAAGCAGUGGCUAUGGCAUGAAUGAGAUUACAGAUUUGAAAUUCAUUGUGAUGAUAAAACGCAGUGUGUAUAUUGUGAUCAUUUUCAAAAGUCCAUAAAGUAGCUCAUUUAGAACCAGAGGGUAAAUUUGAGGGACACAGUGUAAGAUUUAUGCCACAAAUAAUGACAACUACCAACAGCAAGACUGGAAAGAAUUUUACAAAAAUGGUCCAUAAAAUUACUGAUACGGAUAUUAAAAGUAAGAGAUGUUGGGAAAGAGUGAAAUAAGGUCCUGAGUUUAAGUUCAGAUGAGUGUGUCCAAAAGAAACAUGAGCCAUAUAAUAAAUUUUCCGGUGCCCCAUUAAGAGUUUAAAAACCAGGUAAAGUUAUUUUAGUACUAUAAUUUAGCCCAAUAUUCAAAAUAUUGUCGUGUGUAGCCAAUAGAAAUUAUUGAGAUAUUUUACUGUAAGUUUUUUGCACCGAGCAUUUGAACCCCCUGCAUGCACCUUAUACUGCAGCCUCUGUCAGUGUUUCCAGCCUGUCCGGGGAGCGCGGGUCCCGUGCUUGGUGCGUGCGCAUCUCGACUCUGGGAGAGGGAGAUCCCAGCUAUCCGGGUGGAGAAAUAUGAAGUCCAAGUAAUGAGACGUUUGAGAAGGCACCGUGUAAACUGUUUGCAAGUAUAUUGAUGAUUUAUAAGUGUGGGCGAUCGAGCAACUGCAGAUGUUCAAGACACACAGCUGAAAUCCCACUCCUCCUGUAAGACUGGGGGAAAAAAGGAAAUAAAUGAGGCAUUGAGGAGAAAUCCAGGAGCGCAGAAGGAACUGAGCCCCUGCCCAGAGGAGAAGCUGUCUGGGGUUGAGGGCACCUGGCCUCGGCACACCUCCAGGGCCGCCAAAGCCGGGGAGGGCUGUCUUCCUGGGGAGAAGUGACUUUUGUUUCCUCCUCAUUAAGUUUGUGCUCCUGGCUUCGGCUGCCAAGAAGGUUGAAGUUCAACUAUAGCAGUUAAUAGGAGUUUGUAUCUACUAAUUUAUGUUUUAUUUUUUAUUCUUUUUCUACUUAGUGUACCAUUUUUCCCAUUCAUCUUUCUUAAAUCCAUAUGUUUUGUAAAACCAGUGAUAGACGAUAUCAAGAUAUUUUACAAAUUUUUAAGGGUAAGAUUGACAUUCAAAAUAGAUAAUUCUGGGUACUAAGAUACUAUUUACACCAGAAUACAUAAAUCUCAGGAUAUUAUGAUAAAGUAAAAAUGUGAACAUUAUUUUGAAAAUAAACUUUGUCUUUUUCUAAAGAAAGAAAUAUAAGUUAUCAAGAAAUACAGAGCUGAAUUGUUGGGAAAUAUUGCAGAUAUCCCUUUUGAAAACUGAAUUGUAGACAGCUCAUUCAAGCAUAGGAAAAUAUGAUCUUAUCUCCUGGGGCUGAGAGCCAUAAGUAAGUCUGGAGUAUCAAAGAACUAGCUUGGUAGUUUAUGUGUGAUUGUGUCACUAACUUUAUGCAAUUUCACUGUUCAAGGCCUUUUGGGGAAUAGCAUUGAAUACUGUUAAAUUCUGCAGAAAUAGCUAUCAUUUAAAGCUGCAGCAGAGUUAAGAACUGCAGAAAUGAGGUCUUUUGGUGAAAUUCCGUGUGGCACUUAGCAGCAGCCUGGACGGCGAGGUUCUGUGAGGAGGGAGAGACAGUUUCUUUAGCUGGCGCAGCAGCGUCUUCUUUUGUGAUCUGGGCAUGAUCUGUAGAUGCAGAAGGUGUCAAAACCCCUUGUAUGUUGUCUAUCCAUGUCCUAACUUGUACUCUGCAUCAGCUCUGUAGGGAAUGUGGAUAAUGUGGUUUUAAGUAGGUCGGAGAUAAACAGUAACAGUACCAUGCCAGGAAUGGGGAUGGGGUUUCUGAGGCCUCUGUUUUCUCCCAGUCCUCACUAACUCUCCCUUGACGGCUCGCAUUGGGUGAGUAACGUGCCUCCAAAGAGAAAGGUCUUUGUGUUCAGCGAUACUCACCUUCAUCUGUGAACCUUUUAGGUACAAUUUGAACUGUUAGCAGCUGAUUUAAAACUACUAGAGAAAACACUGCUUAUUAUAAUAAAUAAAUUGACCUACUUUGUGGUAUCUAAAAUAAUAUUUUAUUGGGUACCAUAGAAGAUGCUUAAUGAUUGAUUGGUUAUAUUUCUUCUGACAGUAUCAAGGCAGAUGUUUUCACUGUGCACCAAAGCUUCUAUGAUUUUUCUUCUACUAUCAAAGUUUACAACUAUUUCCAAAUACAUCAGAGUUUUCAGUGGUUAUCAGCAGUUGUUAUUUGAUACUAAAAGAUGCAGUGAAAAGCUAAGUCAUUUGGAAGAGUUUCUUUUGUUGCAAGCACAGGAAUUCUGGUAGGACGAUCACCUGAGAAGCAAACAUCACCACGCCUGCCCUGGAAGGGUAAGAUCAUUGUGCAGCACAGUACACUGUCUCCAGGGUGAUAGAUUAUUUAGUGCUCAGUGAUACACAGCCAUGCAUCGCUCACUCGUCAAUUCUGAGAUGCACUGUUUAGCUGUUCGUGUGUGAGCUGUCCCUUACACACGCCUAGGUGGUGUCCAUCAAUCGCUUGAUGUGGCCAGAGGCACUGAGGGCACACAGUGUACGAGGCUGUGCCAGUGUGACACGGCAUGCUGGUUUUUGGGAAACUUUUGUUUUAAUAAGUAGGCGUACACUUGAACAGAAAAGAAUGGCAAAGACACGGUCGUUGUCAUUAGCAAGCAUUGUGUGCUAUACAGAAUGCCAGGUGCCGUACUUUCGUGUGACUGGCAGCACAGUGGGCUUUUACACUGGCUCACCAUAAACUCAGGAUUCGUGCUUUAUGCUGUUACCUUCCCGCCACUACAGUGUUACAGGUGGCAGGAGUCUUUGGCUCCAGUGUAAUUUUGUGGAACCCCAUGUUUGCCCUUGACUCAGUUGUGUUGCGGCUUGACCGUGUUUUGAAGAUGCAUACUUUCCAACACUGAGCAUGGUGCUAUACUGCAUCCCCCUAAUGCUCAGAACAAGCUCUGAAGGAAACCUUACUGAUAGCAUUUGUGACUAGGAAAUUUCAUGAUAAGAAAGCACAAUGAUACUAUUUUAAUAGGAAAAUUCUGAUAUGCAUACUUCACAUUUUGUAAGCACAUGUAUUCUUGUUUGAGCAGUGGCCUCUCUGUCUCGGUGACACUUCCACAGUGUUUCUGUGGUCGCAUUUGCACCCACAGUGCCUGAGUUCCCUUUCCUCUGCAUCCUUACCGCAGUUCUCCUACAUCUUUUGUUAUAAAAGCCAUUCUGACAAGUGGGAUGUGAUAUCUCCUUGUGGUUUUAAUUGCAUUUCCCUAGUGAUCAGUGGUGCUGGGCUCGUUCUCAUGCACCUGGUAGCCAUUUGUGUGUCUCCUUUUGAGCGGUAUUUGUUCAAGUCAUUGGCCCAUUUUUAAGUUGGGUUAGUUGCUGUUGAGCUGUUUGAGUUCUCUGUAUCAUUUGGAUAUUAGCCCCUUAUCAAAUGUGUGGUUUGCAAAUAUUUUCUCCCAUUCUAUGGGUUGUAUCUUCACCCUGCUCGUUGUUUAUUGUUGCUGUUGGUGUUGUACUGAAGCUAUUCAUUUUUGUAUAAUUCCAUUUGUCUAUUUUCGCUUUUGUGCCUAUGCUUUUCAGGUCAUAUCCAAAUAUACCAUGGCCCAGAUCAAUGUCAUGGAGCUCUGCCCUGUGUUUUCUUCUAGUAAUUUUACAGUCUUACGCUUAAGUCAUUCAAUCCAUUACAAGUUAUUUUUUGUAUAUAGUGGAUCUAACUUUCGUCUUCUCUGUCUUGCUCUUGGGUUUCCUAAUGCCAGUUACUAAAGAGACCGUUCCUUCCCCGUGUGCGUUCUUACUGUAUGGCUGCACAUGUGGAGUCUAAUCAAUCCCAUGGACCUCACAGAAGUGGAGAGUAGCUCAGUGGUCAUCAGGGACCUGGUGGGGCUGUUGGGAGGACAGAAUGAGGGCUUGUUCAUCAAAGGAGGCAAACUUUCAGAUGGACAGGAAAUGUAUUGCACAUCAAGGGGACUAGUCGACAACAAUGUAUUAUAUAAUUCAAAAUGAGUAAGAAAUUGCAAGUAUCUCAGCAUAAAAAUUAUAGGUACAUGAGGUAACAGGCAUGUUAACAAGCUUCAUUACUCAUACUACAUUGUACAUAUCUAUUGAAAUAGGACAUGUUACCUCAUACAUACACAAUUACAAUUUCUCAAUCAGAAAUAAUAUUAAUAAUUUUAAACUAUACAAAUGUAUGUUGAAACAAAGUUUAAAUUCUAGCAUAAGAAUAAUUUAGAAAAUAAUUUUAAGAAAUUAAUUAGACACGUCGUUAUCCUAAAUACAUACUUAGGUUUAUGGGAAUUUUUUGGAAAUUUUAAGUUGUAGUAGGAGUCAGUGCUUUCCCAACUAAUUCAGUAACAACUCUUACGGUUUUUAUGCUUUGCCAAGACUCAUAAAAUUCUCAAAACAUUUUCAACAAAUUUUAACUCACUUCAGUUUGACAUAUGUCAAUAAUAGUAUCUAGGAAUAAGAGAUUGUCAUAAAAGCAAAUGCCCUGUUGAGGGACAUAAACAAUUCAACAUCAUGGCAUUAAAUGAUAUUAGAUAGAGACAUUUAGGGGUACAGGAUUAUUUUCCUUUUAUAUUUAACUAAGUAGUUAAAAAUUAUACAGUUAAUUUUAAUGUGUUUUAAAUAAUUACCAAGGCUUCCAGUACUGAGCACUCAGGUAUUGAAUGUGAGAAGCAUAUGCUCACUUUUGCUGGGCUGCCGGUGGGGGCUAUAAAAGAUGAUUUCAGGGCAUCUGUUCACUGUGCUGCCCUGAAUGGGUUGCAAUUGUGUUUUGUAAAUUUUUUUAAAUACCAAGAAAUAGAAUUUAUAAGUAAUGAUUUUGAAUACUAAUGAAUAAAAAUCAAUUCCAAAAAGCCAUCCUCCCCAAUAAUAGUAGUAGAUGACUCAUUUAGUUCUAACAAAGAGCUGGUAUUAAUAGUUUUAAUUUUAAAAUAUUUUCUUUAAAGGAAUAAUGAAGUCAGAACAGCUCCCUUAUUGAAAUUUAUUUAGGUAAAAAAUUGCUCUUGGGAGCAAGCAGGGAGCUAGGCUCUGAUCACUGUGGCAGGCCAUAGGGAUUAGAAUUAAUAUCCUCAGUAAAAUGCGAUUUAUGCCUUUAGGAAACACAAAAAGUCCUCUGCGUAUAAAAAUGUGAAGACAAGUGCUCUCUUAAGAGACUAUAUAAAUAAUUUACUUUUGCGUAACAUGAAUGCAUGAUAUUUGCUAUUAAUAUAGACACAAAAUUUUAAAACAGCAGAAGUAGGGCCAGGGAUUUAGCUCAGUAAUGCCACCGCCUACUUCGCAAGCACAAGGUCCCAAGUUCGAUCCCCAGUACCAAACCAAACCAAACCAAACAAACAACAACAACAACAAAAAAGCAGGAGGAGUAAUUAGGAAAUGCCAUCUGAUUUAUGGAAAUUCACUUUACAACUAAGUUUUAUUGUACAGAGAGACACAAUCUAUUGGGAAAGUAGAAUUGUGCAAGAUGUUAAAAACAUAGAGAAGACCAAGUGAUCCUAAGUAAAUAAAUUUUUAUAAAGGAGACUGAUAGAAGAUUUUGAACGAACUGUAAAGCUAAAAUGUUAUAGGACACUUUAAUUUAUCUCAAAGCAUAUUUUAUUAGUUUACUACAACUGACAAAAAAAAAAAAAAAAAGCCAGAGGCUGGAUGGCUUAAUAAUAGAGAUUUGCUGUUCUUUUUCUUCUUAGAAUGACACCAGUCAGGUUAGGGCAGGCCCACCUAAAAUGGGCUCAUGCUAACAUUUAGUACCAUAAAACUUUGUCUUCACAUGUAGUUAAAUUCUGAGAUGCGAGGGCUUGGGACUCAGGCAUCUGAAUGUGGGACAAACACAAUCCAGUCCACACCACGUGGAGCAGUAUAAUACACUGGAAGAGAAAUGAAUCCUAAUAAAUUUUCUCCAGUACACUAGGAAUAUGGGUGAAAUGAAAUAUAAAGGAGAAUGUUCCCACUUUAAGAUCUCUGUGACCCUGGAUGUGCAGGGUGUUGAGAAGUGUCUUCCCAAACACGCAGUUGGAAGAGAACUAUAACUGGUUCCUUCAUAUGAAGCUCUGCUCUGAGACUGUACCAGUAGCUUCUUCUAGACAUUUUGAAAUCUAUGAUACCGUCACUACUUUACAGUCCCCAAAUUCAGAUUUAUCAGACCUAGAAACAGGAAGGCAUUUAUAGUAGUAAUAACCCAUUAGUAUAAAUAGAUAUCAAGUUUUUUACUAGAAACAAAUUAAUUGCAAAAAUAGAAAAUAUGUUAUGUAUAAUUUUAAUACCCAAAAAUUCAUUGUAAAAUUUUCUGUGGUGUGUGGGGAUUGAACCCAGGACUUUCGCUCAGACUAAGCAAAUGCUCUGCCUCUGCCACUGCGCUCCAUCCAGUUGCCUGAACAGUAAACUUCUUAAACACUUAGCUGCAUCGGGCCCAGUGAGUACUUUACAGCCCAAGUGCAGAUUCCAUUAAAAUGCCAGAUGAACUUCAAGUGAGGAGAGCCAUGUCGGACUCAUACAAAACAAAUUGAAUUUUCAACACAAAUAUUAAAGGUUGGUUUUCAUGUAACUAAACACUGUGCUUUUCAUUUUAAUUACACCCAAUGGAAUAAUUGAAGUAGUCAAUAAGAAACAACUCGGAAGCAUUCGAACUGAGAUUUUGCUUUGGUGUUGCCAUAUAAGUUGAGAACAACCAUCGGUCCUUCUCAGUGUAGUGAGGAGAGAGGCCAGGCCAACACCUUGAAUAUUUUAAACAGAGUCCUGAACUUACAAAGUUGCUCCCCAUCAGUGCAACAGUAGUUGAUGCAGAGGUUCUUGGCCUGCCAUUCCAGCCAUAAAAAUGCCGGACAAAACACAGCAAAAUAAUUUGGGGACAUAACUUUGUCUCAAAUAAAUUUGACCAUUUGAAUAAAAUAAAACUGUGAGCAGUGAUUUGCAUCUGGACUUACGUUAAAAUAUACAUAAAUAUAGCGCACAGUAUCUUGUAUGCAAACCUGCCUCUGUGUGCAGUGUUGGGGAGAAUUCAGACCCUCUGUAAGUUUGGAUUACAUUUUAAUAGUCUUUUUAAUAUUUACCUUGUGGUACUGAUGUGAUGUCAACUAGGUGCCCACCGCUUAGUCCUGAAAGUGGAAGCAAACAAAAGUGCCGUGGCUGUGUUCUGCAGCUUGAUCUCGUAUCCAACACUGUGCUGUUAUUUCAGUUCAUGAGGCUUGUGUGUGGCCUUUUCUGCCCAGAGGAGUUGCUCCAAAGCUGGUGCUCAAUUUCUGUGGACAAAGUAAUGAAAUUUGAAUAUAUUAAGGAUAUAUAUGCUUAUAUAGUUCUCAUGAAAAGAUAAAGUGUUAAAUCCCUGACUGAAAAGACAAUCUCGAUUUCUACCUCUACAAUGCCUGAUUUAAAAAACUCUUCCUAGGACUCUUUAGCACAUCUGUGUCUGGUUUUGUAGGAAUGAGAGAAGCUUUGACAGAGUCAGGACCCACAGAGACCUGAGCCAUAGAAGAGCCUUGCUCUCCUGAAGAAAUGGAGAGCGCCAGGCUGCCACACGUUUGCCUAUAGGUCUGUAAUUCACUUGUAACACUGCCUGACAUUUCCCAAACUGGCUAAGGAUGUUUGAAAACAAAAAUCCUCUUAAAGAUAAACCCAUUCCACUGGUCUAUUUCCAUGCUAAAGCGGCCUGAGAGUAGCCAUGCUCCAGCAGUAGAAGUCCCACCAGAGCAGGGAGACUGCCAGGGGCUCUGGGAUCCCUGGGAAACUCCGGGCACCAAGCCUUGGUGAGGACCUGGGGUGAGAGACUGAGUGAGCCCGCCCAAAGAUGCGGGAGAAAAGAAAGAAAUGCAGGGGAGUUCGUUAGAAAUAUGAGAACCAGGCUUUCCUCCUUUUUGAAGUGAUGCUAAGAUUUGCUUUGUGCCUAAUGGGAAAGAAAAUCCUUUUUCUUUUUUCUUAUUUCUUUCCUCUCUCCUUCCUCCCUCCUCCACUAUAUAACACCCAUUUCUAGAUUCAGAACACAAGCUGAGAGUCUACAAAACAAUCUGAAUGCUUUCUGACUUGAGUGCUUGCCAGAGAUAGCCUAGGAAGUGAAUCACAUUUUGACUUUUUUUUGGAAAGUGUUUGCAGUGAACAACCAACACAUAGAAGAAUCGUUGCAAUAAAAACCUGUGUGUGCAUGCAUGUGUGUGCACCUGCCUCCCCGUCUCUAGGGCCAUCUGUGCUAGAAUCACUUGCAGUGACAUGGUUCAGAUACAGAUUUCUGCAUGUCUAGAUUAAGUCUGUGAAGCAGAGUCAACCUCCCAAGUGACCCUCAGCAAGCUGAGCUACCGAGAACUGCUUUUUUACACUUGGUAAUCUCCCAUUCAAAUACAGUCUUACUGUACAUCAUGACUUAUUUGGUUUCUAUGAAAGUUGAUCAAAUUCUUUCUCUUCUUGUGUUGGAAACCAUAUUAGUGCUUUUUAUUGAAAGUUGAAAAGAUGCUAACUUUUUCCUGGUCUGAAUUCUAGUUAACAAAUUCUUAUCUGUGAAAUUCAAAAACAAAAACUCAAAUAUGAUCGAGGCUUUGUGCUCCAUCAUGUUGGCAUCGUUAAAAGGAAAUAAGUUAUCUGUUUCUCUGUAGAUAUCUACCAUGGGACGUGUGACCUGGGUCAGUUUGAGAGGAACAAACUUUAAAGUAUCCACUCAAAACAGUAUAAAAACGGUAAUGACAACAAUAAUAAUGUCACUCAUUGAAUACUCACUGUGUACCGUGCGUUGUGUCUAGAGCGUCGUGUUUCGCUGUUAAAUGAGGUAAUUCUCACAGCAUGAUCCUACUGUUCAGAGAUGAAAACAUGAGGCCUGGAGAGUGCAAGAAGCUGCCCACCGGACGUGAGGCUUCUGAGCAGGAAGUGUGAGGCAGGGCCCUGCACCCAAACCCGCGUGAUUUCGGGGCUCACACUGUUGCCCCGUCCCUGCUGUCUCCACGCAGGCAUCAGUGACAUCUGGCCAGGCAUCUGGACGAGGUCACACGGAGUGAGGAGGACAGUUUCCUGUGCUCCCAUAACGAGGGCAUGCAGUGCAUGGAAGACAGCAGAAAGCUCUCAAAGCUGAGGAGGAGUCGAGAUAAGUUAGGCGCACUGGAUUUAGAGGAGAGACCAAGGACAGAGCCGGUGAGUGAUUCGCUAAAAUCGCUGCCCUGUGGAGACUAAGGUAAUGAUAGGCACAGACAAGUGCCGUGUGGCCUGCGAGUCAAGGACAGCAGCCGGCCGCCGGGCUGUAUCUCCCAGGCCGGGCCCAUCCUGCUCUCCUGGAGAGCCCAGGUCUCUGUCAGCCACACAGCUGCCAGAGGAAACAUGAAAAGUGAAUGGAAAGACUCGAAACCCAGCCGAACACGUUUCUCAUGGUUGUAGAUGAAGUCAAAUAAUGACGGAGCCCUGUGGUUCUGUGCCUACCCCCACCCGCUUCUUUUCACCCCAGGGCACAAGAGGCGGGAAGGGACGCUCAGUCAGAGUGGCUCCCACUGCGCCACUGAGCCAGGGGCUCUCAGGAGACAGGUGUGCAUUUAGGGCCACCUUCAGGCAGCGACUGCUGUGUGAACAGUCACUGCAUUGUGGGGCUGUUCUGAUUUUCCGGCCAGAGAUGUGGGAUAUCUCAUAAGACCGCAGAAAACAUGUCUGGGGAAAUUGGCUGGCAUUUUCGUAAUCUUCACACUGAAAUGUGAGAUGUAAGAAGGAAAGGCCUGUUUAAAACUGCAGUGUACUUUCUGUGGAGGCUGCCAGUGUGACAUAACAGGAAAAACCCUAAUCCACAAAGGUGAUCAGUGAUUUUAUUAAGUGAAUAGCAGAACGUGGAUACCACAGGGAAAGUCCUAAGAUAUAAGAAACAAAGAAGACCUAAAGUUUGAACAUGAAGAGGCAAAUAACUUAGAGAUAGAAUGGAGAGCUGGAGAGAUGAGAUUUGGAACUGAAAUAUCAGGAAUCUUCUUCAAUGUAAACAGAUGUUAGGGUAAGAAAAAAUAGGAGAAGAGGCCAUGUGAAAAAGCAACUUGUGAAUGGCCCUGAAAUUCCACAAACUUGGUAAAGGAAGCCGUACAGAGCAUGUCAGUGAAUCUGAGGAGAAAAAUAAAUUCUGUGAUUCUCAGAUUUAAUACCAUCAAGAAGAUGAGAUGCUUUCUUUGAAAUGGGUCAUAAAACUAUUACAGAAGCGAAAUGGAGUCAGUAGAAAGCUUUAAACAUGUGAACACUGGCCCAAGUCCUUUUGAGAAUAAUGAGUCUACGGACCCUAACGCACGCACUGGAACAGAAAAGGACUGGCAGAGAACAGCAAGCACAAUGAGAAAUCUUGAGAGAAGGGAAGCCAUUUCUUCUUAGAGUUUAAAACAGUCAAAUAUAGCAGGCAGAGUUAGUUUCUUCCAAUUCUGUGAUUUGAUUCGUGCAUUUCGUGUAACAUUUAGCACAUAGGGUGUCUGCUCCCCAGUCCUGCUGUCUGUGAGCUAACACUGGAAAUAGGCUUUCCAUGGCCCUGGUCUCCGGUCCCUGGGAUGCAGUAGCUCUCACACUGUGGGUGCCGAAUACAUCUCCGGGAAGCAGAUUCCAUACAGGGAGGGAAGGCAGCAGGCUAGCAGGGACGAGGAUGACUCUCCAGGCCAACCCCAGCAUGACCUUCUUGCUCACAGCAGGUGAGCCUGCCUGUCGCCUCUCCGCAUCAUUGUGUGUGUGUGUCUCCUCAGUGGUGGCCACCACCCUCGAUUACUGUGUAACUCACUUUUUGCUGAUUUUCUGUUUCCCCAGCUAGACUGUAAACUGGGAGCAGACAAAGAUCUUUGUUUUGUAUAUUAAUGUACCCGAGGCACUUAACACAGUAAAUGCUUAAAAUUUUUAUUAAGUAAAUGAAAUAUCAGAAAGACUGUCUUACAGAAGAGAAACUAAACUUCUUGCAUGUGUAUCUGAAAGCCACAAGCGGACAAUGAUUGAAGUUACAAUUAGUACAGACUUUGAUUGGACAAUUAGACUCAAGCCAAGUAGGAAAAACUUAAAUAUACAAUUCUGGCACAUAAUAAAAAUGGAAUUGAUUCUAAUUUUUAAAGGGAGGGGAAAGGAUAUAUGAGAAACCCUUUUAAGCUGAGCAGGGAGCUUCUGAUUACUAUUUAUUUUUAAACACAAAAGAAAGAAACGGACAUAUAAUGAAAGAUGCGGGUGGAUUAUGAAGGGACCAGCAUACAACCGUUAAGUACAGUAGCAAAAAGACCUGCAGAAUUUUAGUACAGAUAAAGAUACACACACACACACACACACACACACACAUUCACACACUCACACACUAUGGAGAGACUACACGUGGAAACAAAGUAACAGCUGUGUUUUAAAUACUUCAGGUUUUUCUUGUGGAAUAAGAUCUCUGUAAAAUUAUACAAAGCACAACAAAAACCAGUGUGAGAAAUGUAUAGUGGGGGUGUUUUUGAUAUCAUAUGAAGAGUAUUUAUUAAUUUACUAAUUAAAUCUGCAUUUCUCCAUCACUGAAAGUGUUCUAGAAGGGUUCGCAGAUAGAAAUACUGCACUGCAUCAAAAUUAAAUUAUAUCUGUUAUACUCUUCUGUAACUUGCAAUUUCAUUGGGUUCUAUAGUUAGAGAUUGUUCUCAGGGAAAAUUAAAAUGGAUUCUUUGAAAGGGUAUUUAUACAAAGGAUUUAUUCCUUUCCCAAUCAACACAAACACAUACUUUUUUUUUCAAAUGUCACUAGAAUCCAUUUGGCAGUGCUGUGAAUCUACAUAAAGUUCGGAAUGCUCACCCGGUCCCUGAAUCCCUGGUCACCAGGGGGGAUCUGAUGCCAUGGGCCCCACACACCUGCAGACUGCCCAUUUCUUUUUCCUCCCUCUGCUCCGUUCCUCUCACUGAAAUUGACUGUUCAAGGACAGUGUUCCAGGUACAAGCUGAAGCAAUAUUGCCUAAUAUUUCAAAGAACACGUAGGAGCUCUGUUCAGUUAUGUAGGGACAAAUGCAUCUCUCUGCACAGACUCUUUAGCCUGGGAGUAAGUUGACUACAAUCACUUCCCUGCUGAAAUAAAAUUGCUGUUAUAGUCUUAAAGCUUGAGAAAUCCAUCCUCUGGAUGUUUGCCAUUAUGGUUCUUACAAAGAAGAAAUAAAUUUGAGGAUAAUUCAAAACAAGAAACACUGCAAAAAAUCUGAUUUCAUUUUAUUCCAUUAGCUCAACACAAUUUCACGUCUCUUACAUAUUAUGCACUGGGUAGGAAGAAAAGUGUGAGGUGAAUAAAACAGUCUUUGUUCUAUUGUUCUUCAGUAGUUACAGUUGCAUAGGGGCAGGAAGAGAAUAAAAUAUAAAUAAAUGCAUUUCUCAAUAUACUUUUGGAAUAAUAUUGAAGAAAAAGAAUAGGGCACCACUGGAGAGAAUAAAAGCAGCCUCCUGCUUGCGAUUGGAGUGUCAGAAAAGCCUUCUGGGCUAGUCCUAAGGAACAAGAAAGCCCAUGGCCAGAGGUCCUGAAGCAGAGCAGGUUGGCCUGUUCGAGGGGCACACUUCCUGGGGACCAGUGGGAAGAGUGGCAGGCGAGACCUCUGGAGAACAGGGCAGGUCCAGUCCUGCUCCGCAUGUGUGCUGUGCUGUCCUUACAGAGAGAGAGCGUGGGAGAGCGGGGAGGUCAGUGAUGUGGCCAAAACAGAUUUUCCAAGAGGCCCCACGGAGGAGUGCUUUGGCGGCAAGAGUGAUAGUGUCUUGGGAAAGGCUUAGGAGGUGAGGUCCGCUGCAGAGGUUGAGUCGCCAGAAUUGGCUGACGGUUGGAUGGGUGAGGGAAGGGAAGGGGGACAGAGAGUCUCCAGAGUUCUGCUCUAAGGAACCACGUGACUGCUGCUGUCAGAUAUUAGAAAGGAAAAAGAGAGGAGAAGCAGAUUGCUCUUCCCUUGGGAAAGAAGUCGAGAGAGUAAAUGAAAGAUCUGUGGAGGCUCAGUGCGAGGGAGACAGUCGUCAGCCCGGGAACUUGGAUGUGAGCUCCGGGUGCUGGCCCCACUGCCAGGCGCGGGUCUGGGUUUAAAACUGGAAAGAAGAUGACGUCACCAGUGAGGGUGCAGAAGCCAGAGCGUUUUGAGAAGAUACCAGCGAGGUCGGAAGCAAACUAGAAGGAUGUGAGGAGCAGAGCUUUCCCACGGGAGCGGCCACCUCCGCGGACUGCCGACAGCCAGCGAGGUUGAGCUCGCGAGUCCUCGUGGAUGCGACUGCGCCCACCACUUUAGGCCAUCUUAGGAGCAGUUUUAUUUUUCAUUUGUAGGGUGUCAUGGGUUUGUUCUUUUCUGGGUCAUUUUGUACCUCUGUACCUCAUGCUCUUCUGUGAUGACCGGAGUAAUGUACUUCUAGAGUGCCUCUCGACUUCCCUUCUUCUGUGGAAUACUGUGCUUCUCCACAGUUGUGUUAGAAUGUAAUCAUCCUAUAAUGUGUAAAGUUACCGUCCCUGUGACCUUAAAAGUGGGACGUUAUUAGAAUCAAAACAAGAAUACUUGAGCUGUUUUAUUUUGCUUUGAUGCUGGCAUCUUUUUUUUUUUUUCCAGUACGGGGAUCAAACUCAGGACCUUGCACUUUCGAAGUGAUGCUGGCAUCUUAAAUGCUUCUGAGCUCCACAUACAAAGUUCCAAAUACGUGCUGGUCCGUUAUUGUCUCUUUAUUUUUAAUUACAUAGAAUUACUUGGUCUGUUUUCUUAGCUUUCUAUUUUUAUUAAUUCAAAUAAUUAGUGAUUGAAAGUAAUAGAUAUUUAACCAAAGUCAGUUAAUUAGUAAGUGUUCUACAAAUUCUGCUGCUUAGCACUGUGCUUGAGCAUGGUGGUGUUCCAUAAAUAUUUAAUAUUGUUUGGUAAUGAAUCACUGAAUGGCCAAUAAGUCCUAUCAAAUUAGUGAUUAAUUAUCUUUGUUCAACACUUUCAGGUGAUUGCUUUUUAAUGAGACUGUAUUCAUUCGCAUUUCACAUACAUUUUUGUAAAUAAAUUGUUCAAUAUGCAGACAUUUAGAACAUUUUUAAAUUCACAGUUUAACCAUCUAAUCUUCACCUAUUUUCCCACUGAUGGAUGUGUAGUUUUUUCUCUUUAUAUUUCAGCACAUGUGAGAUGGGGCCUAGUACUUAUCAACUUACAGCUAUUUUUAGAGAUGACUGUAUUGGUUUCUAAAACGUACUUGAGGAAAGUCACCAUAUAGAACACAAUUAUGAAUUAGACAAGACAUGUUAUCUAAAACCUUUCAAAUUAAACCAGAGGAUAUGCUGUGUAGGAACCAGAAAAAUGUUUAUAGGCAUUCUUAUGUUAAACACUACUGUUGAUAUGACUGUCAACCACUGUUUCAUUAGUGUGGUUUGCAGUUUUGUGUGUGUCUGUAUGGGGUCACCCUUGGUAUCCAUGGGGGCGUGGUCCAGAACGUGCCCCCACCACAGUGCCACCCCCACAGGCCCAAGUUCCUAGUAUAAAACAGCGUAGUAUCUGCACAUGAACCACACAUAUUUUCUCAUAUACUUGAAAUCAUCUCUAAGUGACUGUAGGAAUUCUAUAUAAAUAGUUGCUAGGGAACAAUGACAAGAAAAAUAAUUGUACAUGUUCAAUACAGACAAAAAUUUUUUUCUGAAUAUUUUUAAUCUGUGGUUAGUUGAAUCCGCAAAUGUAGAAUAGUGGAUACAAGCAACUGUGUACCUGUGUGUGUGCAUAUACAUGUGUGUUUACAUAUGUACACAGAACAUAGUAGAAACUAUAAUAGUUGAGAUCAUUAUAGAAAUGCAUAUAUGUUGAUAAGACUCUCAUGGGGUUAUUUAGAUUCUAAUGUUAUUUUGUAUUUUUCCUAACAGGCUCCACUAUGGAAAAAAAUAGUCUUUCUCAUCCAUGAAAAUGUAUGUUAAAAUGAAUGUUGUAAUAGGUGAACAUUUUGAAGAGGAACUUAAAUUAUAGGAGGAUGUUUCUUUCCUAUCACUCAUGUCCAAAGUUCGAUGACAUAGAGGUCUGCGUAAGAGAUAUGAUGAUUUAGUCAGCCCCAAGUAAUACCAGGGCUGGGGCAGUUACACAGUGAGAUUGAGAGUAGCCCUGGAGGCAGGUGCAGAGGGAGGUGGAGCCCGAUCUACACAGCCCAGCUCCGCACGGGUUGGGGUACACUGCCCUUAGGGUGCUGGGAGGCUCCACGCAUGCCAUCCCAGCUCUGUUUACUUCCGCAUGCCUGGAUGCUGGUCCUAGGACAGGCACCUUCUAAGUAGCUAUAAAAGGCAUAAGACUAAUGCUUUGUCAGCUAAUCUGAAUACAUACUCUGAAGGUAAGAAUAAACAUGAACACUGUAAAUAAGCACAAUUAGAAAUAGCACAAUUAAUCUUUUAUGCACUAUUUUUUAAACUGCAAUUACCUUGAAUGAUAAUAUGUAUAACAACUAUAUUUUUAAAAAAUAUUGUCUCUAGGGGCCAGGGAUUUAGCUCAGUGGUUUCGCAGCCUGCUGCGCAAGCACAAGGACCCGAGUUCGAUCCCUGGAACCAAAUAUAUAUAUUGUCUCUAGGCUGGGAGGUAGCUCAGUAGUAAACUCUUACUCACCAUGCUCAGUGCCCUGAGUUCAGUCUCCAGUGUGAGGGGCAGAGAAAAAGAAACGCUGUCUUAAAAACUGUUUUCCAAUGACUAGGUAAAAUAUAAGAGUUGUUGAGAUAUAGAUGUAUUUUUAUCUCAUCCAGGCAACCUAUAAAAGGCUGCUCUCAUGAUGUGAAAUUCAGUGCUAUUUGAAAUGAAAUUGAUAGCCCAUAACAGCCUAUCACAAAACAUGAAUUUUUCCUAGAUAUUAGGUUAAUGCCAAGUAUCAUUAAAAAUAAGUCAUGAAUGACAGGGGGAAAAAAACUCAGUUUUUUCUGUCCUAAUUCUGAGAAAUGGUGGCUAGGUGAUAAGUAAACAUUUUUAGAGAAAAGCUUGUAUAUAUGAAUGGUUACUCCAGUGUUUUUAUUUUGAUAAACCCCAUCCAUAUAUAUAAUUUUUUUCUUUGGUACCAGGGAUCGAACUCAGGACCUUGCACUUGAAAGGCAGGCGGCAGAACCACUGAGCUAAAUCCCCAGCCCUGUAUAAUUUUUUUUACAGUACUGGGGAUUGAACCCAGGGCCUUUGUACUGAGCUAUAGCCUCAGCCCUUUUUAUUUUUUGAGACAAGUUCUUGCUAAGUCACUAAGUUGCCCGGGCUAGAUGAGCUCAUCUUUUUUUCUUGACCUCUGUAAUUUUGAACAUUGUAGUUUGGUAGCCCACGUUUGCAGUGCCUAACAUUCACACUCCUCAUGGAGUCGGCACAUGGACGUAAUGUUCCCUAACACCUUUUCUCAGCCCAUUCCCUCCCCUCCCUGCCCCAUCCACCCAUGCUUCCUUGAUGCGCUUCCCUUUUUGUUAACUUGGUCCAUGUUUGCAGUCCUGAUGUUCGCACGCCUUGUGUGGAGCUGGAACAGGCACAGAGCACAUCCCAGUCCUUUUCUCUCAUCCCUUCUCCUGGUCCUUCCCUCCAUCUGUUGGCCCCUCCCCCUUGGAGAACCAUCUAUUUGUCUGCUUCCUAUUACCUACCUGUUAUUUUGCUCUUUAUUUUUACUCUAAGUUUCUCAUAGAUGAGAAAUAAUGAGAUAUUUAAGCUUCAGUGUCUGAUAUAAUGAAGGAUAGACUUAAGUCAUUUGUAGGAAAACGGAUGCAUCUCGAGACCACAAUGCCAAGAGAAAUAAAGCCCAUCUUUUAAAUUGAUUAACCCUCCAAAAGCUUGAAUCUCCCUGACAUAAAAACAAAAUUGAAAACUGAAAUUAUUGAGAGUCGCUGGAUGAUAAACCACAGUCUGUGCCACUCAGUCCCAAAGUGAAGUCACUUCCUCCGAUGAAAACUUUACCCGACACAUGCACGCAAUUUCUGUACCCCAGAGAACAGUGUACACUGUUUCCCUGAUAUCGGCAUGCAUCACUCGUAGACAGUUUUAAAGGGCCCUGUGUACUGCUUUGGUGAGUCAGUGCCAUUGGGACUGACUGAGCAGAACUCAGAAGUUGGCUGGAAAAUAUCGAGUGACCUGAAAAAGAUCGCACACUGUCCUCCUAAGAGACGGUUUUCACCUCACAGUGCCAUCUAGGCCCUUGGAGCCUGUGCAUGUCUGAGAAGGGCCUGAGCGUGGGCAGGUAGUAGCUUCCCUGUUACAGGCGUCCUUUUACCUAGAAAAUCUUUAACUCAAUUCUGCUUUACCUGUAAAUUCCUCUUUAUCUUUCAACCAUCAGGGUCAAGGAAACUUCCUCAGAAAGUCUUCUAGAUUUUCUGACUUCCCCAAACUGCAAUCUAAAUUAAAUCCCCACUCUGAUUACACUUUGCAGUUUUCCUUGAUGGUACUUAGGAAUCAUGGCUUAAUUUUUGUGUGAUUAUUUCUUAACAUCUGUCUCCUUGUUACGUUGUUCGCUUUGUGAAGAAAAGGAAAUUUCCCAUUGGUUCAUCACUUUAUUCUCAGGCUGGGAAAUUAUGGAUAUAUUAAUAGUUAUUAAUUAAUAAUGAUCAUAUUUGCUGAACAGAUAGAAAGGAGGUAUGUGGAUGGAUGGGUGGACAGACCAAUGGACAGAGUCUUGCAUGAAUGAAUCACAGCAAGUAGAAGGGCCUUUGGUUUGCUAAUUUGGUUGUAAGUCACAGUCAUGGAGCAGUGUCUUCUCAGUUUGUUGUGAAGAAUGGAAAGGAGCCUGGGAUGUGGAGCACUGCUCCUUCAGCAAGCUGAGCUGCCGAGUAGAGGGAUCCAAAUUGCAAAGCGCUGGUAGAGAAGAAGCUUCCACAUAUUCCCCUAGUUGGGAAGCAUUAACUUUCCCCUCUUUGUAGUUGCUUGCUGCUGUUGGAGUUUCUGCAUUAUACCACAAACCUCCCUCUCGCUGUGACUGUUUUCCCUGGGUAAUAGUCCUCUGUCUCAUUAGUCCUGCGAUGCCCACCUUAUUGUCAAAGUAUGAAUGACAGAUUGCAUGGAAUCUGUCUGAAUUGAACUUUAGGACGAAAUAUAUUUGAGCUGUAUUGUUCUUUUCUGCUGGGAAGUUUUCUGUCAACGAGACUGACAAAUUGUUCUUGAAAGACACUUCUAACACAGAGCUCCGAGUGGGUCAGCUGAUGAUGAGUGCUUAGUUGGCUCCUUAAGAUGGCUGUGUCCGCACACAGUUGCAGCUAUUUACCAGGUGUACUGAGUCAGGAAUAGAAGCACCUCCAGGCAGCAGUUCACUGAGACCCAGCCUAGCUGACAUUUGCCCUGGAUCCGUGUACUCUGGCUGUUUUCUUGGGUCUUUUCUUCCACUAUGCUAUUUAUUUAAAGCUUUGACAGAACCCUCAUUCUUUACUGCUAAGCAUCUGUAAUAACUUCAGAUGACUUUGUUACAAGUCUGUGUCUUUGUGUCUAAUGAAAAAGUUAAAGGAUCUGCAAGUUAAGUAAAAUAUCUUUGAAAAGGAUUUUUUUUAUUUCUAUGUGAGCAUGGUUUCAAGCAAUGUGAAUGACUUGUAACCAUAUAUAUCCAACUAGCACAUGACUGAGUUGAACAGAAUGGUGAUCAAGUCUUUACUGCCAUAUAUGUUGAAGUUAAUACAUGAAGUUUAGUCAUUAAAGAAACUAGUAGGAACUAGAUUUAUUUGUGAUUAAGAGAGUCUCCCUUUAUUUUCCCUGAACCUAAUAAUAUUCUAGUCAUACAGUGGCUUAAGGAAUAAAUGAAUGAUGAAUCAAUAAUGCAAAAUGAAAUGCAUGAGCUUUUUACAGAUACUGCAUAAUGUUAACAUUAGUAUGACUUAGGAAAAUUUUUAAAUUUCGCUGUGUAUUUGUCCAGGAUGAUUACACUCCAAAAUCUCAGGAUACUAUUGAUUUCCUAGUGAGAGGCUGCUAGGUAAUGCUUAUCCAGAAUUCCAGAGGAAUAAUAAUAGAAAAUUUUUCCUUUUCUCUGAAAUAUCUGAGGGUGCUGUGCUAAUGUUACCAUGCAGACUUUGGUAAAUGGAUCACGGCGAUAUGUAUUGGCUUCACCUGUGCUUCCAGGCUCCUUACGCCCUCCGCAGGGCAGCCCAUAGAAACUGAAACUUCUCUUCCUUAAGGCAGGUUAUGAAAACUGAUCUCCCCUGCCUCAGAGCUGGCCAUGAAGUUUCUGACUUGUCUGAUAGUAGAUGGCAAGACCUGCCUUCAGAAGGGUCCUGCCCCACACCUGUAGGGAAGACCAUAUGCUCUGCACAGGUAGGCCCUGCUGCUUCCGCCCUAGUCCAAUAACCUUCAGUUUGUCCAUCACACUUGACAUGCUCGUCCAUGCUUCUGCCGCACCUGUGCAGUGAAGUCACCACAGAAACCCCAAGGGAUGGAGUUCAGGUAGCCUCCAGACAGUGGACACAUGGAAGUUCCCAGAGGGUGGUGUCCAGGACAGGACACAGCAGUGUGGAGCCCCUUCAUCUCUACCUCUGCCUGUGUGACUCUAUAUGUGUCCUUUGUAAUAAAGCAGUAGGCACAUUGCCCCAGGUUUUAGAAACCUCUCAAGCAAAUUAGCAGAACCUGACAGAGGCAGGGUUGAGGGAACCUGCAUAUCCAGCCAGUAGGAAACAGCAAGACAAUCUGUGGCUUGUGAUUGGCCUCUGAAGUGGGGCCAGAGGUUGAAUACUGGGUGCUCCUGGCCUCUGACCCAUCUCCAGAGUGUAAGGAACAAUUGCCAGAGGUCACCCUGCUAGUAUCUGCUGCUGCAGAACUGUGUGCUGGGUUUCUGAGAAGUGCCACACUUUUUGGGAUCAAGAAGUGAUUUUGUGAAUGUACAGUGGAUGAAACGGUUUGGGUUUGAGAUGGUGUUUUAUUCUGCAUCCACAAAAUCACAAAGCUAGAAGAUUGUUUGGAAUACUGAGUUCUCAGACUUGAAAUCAUCAUCGCUACUACCACCCUAGGAAGGUAGAAGAAGUUCUCAUGAGAAGCUCAAACCCCUUACCUAUUUCAUGAUCCCUGCGGGUCACUUGUGUUUUACUUACAUCUUACAGAUCAUUAAAAGAGUCUAGGGUAGGUGCUCAGACAACAGCUGAGUGAAUAAGGAAGUGAAGGCCAUGGGAAGGUGGUCAUACACUGGAAAGGGAACUGUCUGAAUGACUGAGACAUAAUGAUAUGCAGCUCCACUAAUUAUUGGUCUUGGUGGGCUCUCUGAUGCUCUGUCACUUAGCACUUAAGAGGAGUGUGAGUCAAGUCUUGGGUUUGCUACUUAUGGCACUGGACAAAUGACUUUCAUAAUACUGGGCAUCAAUGUCUGUGGUAUUCCUGGCUUCCUUUCUUAAUAACCUGUGUGGCCUCGAGCAAGACAUCCUUCAUGUACCUCAGUUUCCUCAUCUGGAUGAUAUUAAUAGUACUGUCUCUCUUGUAAUCUUGUGUGUUCAUCAAGUGAGUUUAUGUGCUGAUAUGAGAAGCUGUUUAGAAGAAGCCUGGUGUACAGGAAACAGGGCAUGUUAGCCGUUACUCCAUGGGAACAUCAGGGUUUCAGUCUGCUUUGCUCACUUCUGUAUCCUCAGUGGCUAGAGUCUGAUACAUGGUAGGGACCCAAAAAUAUUGAACAAAUAUACGUCAACUUUCCUGUUUUUUAAAUGAGAUUGAGUUACUACCUUUUAGAGUGUUUAUAUUAAAUGAGGCAAUUUAUAUGAAAAAUAAAGUUACUAUUAUCGUAAUUAUUAUACCUAAGGGCCAUAAUUCAGAUUACUGAGUAAACAUAUUUGCUCUUCCUGUUAUAUAAUUAUUCUGCUUUUGUGCCUCACUUGUUGUCUUUAGGGUUUUUCCCCCCUGUUUCUCAGUCAAAUCUUAUCAGCGUUUUUUAGCCUAAUCUGUAACUUAUUUGCUUACCUCCAUGGACAUGUUCUUUUAAAAGACAGAUAUUGUCACAAGUCUCAUUUCAGAAACAAUGAAAAUACUGGUCAUUUCAUUCUAUUUUGUCUUCUCAUACUCUUAAGUAUUUUUUGGCCUCUUCUACUUUUGUGAAAGUUUUGGAUUAGCCAGUUGUGAAAGAGCAACAUCUGUUCUUUGCUUUCAAAAUUUGCUGAGUAAAACCAAUUAUAUAUUUGAAAACAUAGAUCACAAAAGUUCACAUUUAUUUGUUGCAUAUUGAUGUAAAUCUAGGUAUAGGAGAAAAUAUAUCUUUCGGGUUUCAUAUGCUGGUUGUGUGACUAUGCAGUAUUGAUAUGUCUCUAUAAGGAUGGCAUUUAUGGAUUUAACAUUGGCAUACAGUUAGAAUCAGCAUCAUGAUUGUAAAGAUGGAUUAGCAGUGUUCAUUUCAGACCAGGUAUUUGACUGUAUUCAGGACCGCAUCCCUCAUCCAUGUUUCCAUGAGUAUGGAAAUCGCUGGCAGCAUGUGCAGGCCACCAACUGAAAUCAGACCUGCUGAGUCUGAGCCCUGUUCUGCCAGGCAGGUCAUUAAUAUUCUUGAGUCUGCUCAGACUCAUCUGUAAGGAAGAGAAAAUGAUGAUAGUCCUUUGGGGUUGAUAUGAGAAUUAGGUGGCAUAAUUAGCAUAAUAUGUUUUAUAAACUAAAUCUAUAAAAUAUGCUUUUGUAUAUUCAUCAAAUAUGGAAAUAGAAUACUAUGAUAGUUUAUGCAAGUAAUAUCUGUUUAUCUUUUCUUGAAAAAGGUGAUUUUCAUAUUUUUCUGACAGAAUUUUUUUAAGGCAAUAUUUUACCUCUAGAAGCAAUUUAUUAUGCAUAUUUGUGACUUUCUGUAAAUGAUAUUUGGAUGAAUAAGAACAUUAUAAAUAAGUUGCAGUACUAGAUUAUACUGAUUCUGGAAUUCCACUUAGGUACGGAACAGCUUCCUGGGUCGGUCGUGUUCCGAACCUGCAGGAGGGAAGCAGUGUCGCGUAGACAUGGAGGCGCCUGGAUCUUCAGUGCUCCCCUCCUGUUGGUGCAGCCGGAUCAGUACCAGAGGGAGCAGGCACAGUCUGUGACAGGAAGGUGAACAGUAAGGAAAUUGGACUAAGAGCUCUAGGAAUAUUACUAAGAAAGGACAAAGGUCUACCAGAAAAACAAGCAGGAAACCUGGGUGACCCUAAGUCUACAUAACCAAAAGUUAUAACUUUUUUGUAUAAAGUUACAACUUACUUGUGCUGAAAGUUCUCUGAUUUUUAGCAAGGCUGGGAGAAUUGUGCGUAUUUUUAUGCCUUCUAAGCCGAGUGGUGCGCAGUGGCCUAGUCUUCAGCACUCGGAGGGCCUGCAGCCUCCUGGCUGUGUGCUGCCUGUGCCUCCCUCCCUCCGUCUGGGCGAGGCCACACCGACCCCAUCCGCUCGUCCCUGUGCUUAGGGCGCCCUGUCACGUUCUGGCCUGUCCCUCCGCACACCCCAGCACGUGAGUACCGCACACCUCCUUCUUGGCCACUUUGGUCGCUUGUGUCAGAAGCGUCCACAGAGGUCCCUGACCGUGGGGAGCUCGGCUCGCAGCGGCCUGAGGAUCUGAGUCGCCAGCGCAGCGGCCAAGCAGGGCCGCCCACCAACAGGAGUGCGGAAGUGUUAACCGGACGUGAGGGCCACAGCAGGCGCGUGAGUGGCAUGUUGCAAACGCUUUGAAUAGAUCCCCUCUUGCACAGCAGCGAUCCUGCGCGGCUGAGGGCUGAGUCCUUGCUGCCUGCCUUCCGGCCGCCCUAGCAGGCCGCUGUGCGGAGCCGAGACUGGUCUAGCAGGAGACGGGGCCGUCAGUCAGGCGCCCGCCACACCCUGCCUGCUCUCUGGCUCCCACAGGAUACUGCCUUGUGUCAGACCGGAAGCCCUGCAGUGCCUGCGGUCACUUUUAGUAACAAUGCGGUGCAGAUUAGUUCUUUUAGAGAAGGAAGACAUUAAAAUUCCCGAAAUGGGGACCAAGUCGAUAGGCACCACUGUGCUUUAUUGUUUUGGAGUUAUUUGUUUUGGAGUUGGUUCUUUCAUGGUUCGUGGGGGAUUCUUUAAAAUUUGUUUUCCUUUCUGUGAACCUUUUAUGUUUUAUGGAGAAAGCAAGCACGCUUCCAUUGUGUGUUUUGGGGAACCCAGUAAGGACGGGGCGCGGCGCCAGGACUGGGGACCGCGGGUGUUUCUGGCGGGCGGCCCGGGCGCUGACUUCAGGC
ensembl:lncRNA